rnacentral:rRNA from 1 species
UACGAAGGGGGCUAGCGUUGCUCGGAAUCACUGGGCGUAAAGGGUGCGUAGGCGGGUUUUAAGUCAGGGGUGAAAUCCUGGAGCUCAACUCCAGAACUGCCUUUGAUACUGAAGAUCUUGAGUUCGGGAGAGGUGAGUGGAACUGCGAGUGUAGAGGUGAAAUUCGUAGAUAUUCGCAAGAACACCAGUGGCGAAGGCGGCUCACUGGCCCGAUACUGACGCUGAGGCGCGAAAGCUAGGGGAGCAAACGGG